rnacentral:rRNA from 1 species
AGUGAACGCUGGCGGUAGGCCUAACACAUGCAAGUCGAACGGCAGCACAGGAGAGCUUGCUCUCUGGGUGGCGAGUGGCGGACGGGUGAGGAAUACAUCGGAAUCUACUUUUUCGUGGGGGAUAACGUAGGGAAACUUACGCUAAUACCGCAUACGACCUACGGGUGAAAGCAGGGGACCUUCGGGCCUUGCGCGAUUGAAUGAGCCGAUGUCGGAUUAGCUAGUUGGCGGGGUAAAGGCCCACCAAGGCGACGAUCCGUAGCUGGUCUGAGGGGAUGAUCAGCCAAACUGGAACUGAGACACGGUCCAGACUCCUACGGGAGGCAGCAGUGGGGAAUAUUGGACAAUGGGCGCAAGCCUGAUCCAGCCAUACCGCGUGGGUGAAGAAGGCCUUCGGGUUGUAAAGCCCUUUUGUUGGGAAAGAAAUCCAGCCGGCUAAUACCUGGUUGGGAUGACGGUACCCAAAGAAUAAGCACCGGCUAACUUCGUGCCAGCCGCCGCGGUAA